GACCGGGGAGACGAGGCUCCCCUCCGAUCCACCGACCGAGAUGGAGCUUCCCCCCGGAGCACUGGCGGAAGAAAGGCCGGCCCCCUUCCUCUUCUCCGAAAUGAUGCCGGAGAAGAGGAGGAGCGCCGGGAGGUAGGGUCGCGGCUGGAUCUCCUCCAAGAGAUCUCCCCCUGCUCCGACCACGGCGAGGUAAGGCCGGGGUCCGAGGAUGAAGCCUCUACGGUCCGGUGAGUCUAUUUUAUUUUCAUUAUUAUUAUUUUUCUUCUCUUUCUUCUUCCCUUCUUCCUUUUCUUUCUUUUUCUUUUUUUUUCGGUCCUUCCCUCCGGCACCACCACCUCUUGCCGGAGAGGAGGUGGUGGUCCGGCUGGGGCUGGCGGCCCUGUGGCCACGCCGGUUGCCGGCUCUGUGGCCACGCCGGUUGCCGGUUCUGUGGCCACGCCGGUUGCCGGCUCGGCCAGACCGACGGCCCGGGGCUACCCCCUGAGCCCUAGGGUAGCCGCAGCCGAAGCUGCGGUGCCCUGCUCAUUUGCAGCCGGGCUCGGCCCGAGUAGUUGUCGGGCCUGGGUCUGGGCCGCGGCGGUUCUCAGGCCGGCCCGUGGCCUGUGAGUCCGGCCCGGCCCGCGGCCUGUGGGCCCUACCUGUGGCCCUUUCUUCCUUCUGCCGAUCUCCUCCUCUCUGUUUCACUGUUGAAACAGAGGGGAGAAUACCCCACAGAGGGUUUCUCUACUACUUAUAAUUUCAUUAACAGGAUCCUUACCUGGCUUUGGCCGAUUGCAGUCGGGCAAUACCACCCCUUGGUAGUCCCUCCUUCCUCUCCUAGAGCUUCAGGGCUUCUUCCGCCUCUAGCUCCAGGGUUUCGGCUCUCUGGUUUUUGUGUUCUAAGGGGUCAGGAAAUAGAGGGUAUAGUACUGGGGCUUAAAUACUUUUGUUUAAGGGAUGAGACCCCCUUUUGAGAGGUCCCAUCCUCUCUCCCCCCUUGCUCCGGGGCUUCCAGCUGCCCCCCUUGUCUCAGGCCCGCCGAAAUCGG
rnacentral:lncRNA from 1 species